rnacentral:rRNA from 1 species
AUCGAACGCUGGCGGCAGGCUUAACACAUGCAAGUCGAGCGGGGGAAGGUAGCUUGCUACCGGACCUAGCGGCGGACGGGUGAGUAAUGCUUAGGAAUCUGCCUAUUAGUGGGGGACAACAUCUCGAAAGGGAUGCUAAUACCGCAUACGUCCUACGGGAGAAAGCAGGGGAUCUUCGGACCUUGCGCUAAUAGAUGAGCCUAAGUCAGAUUAGCUAGUUGGUGGGGUAAAGGCCUACCAAGGCGACGAUCUGUAGCGGGUCUGAGAGGAUGAGCCGCCACACUGGGACUGAGACACGGCCCAGACUCCUACGGGAGGUAGCAGUGGGGAAGAUUGGACAAUGGGGGGAACCCUGAUCCAGCCAUGCCGCGUGUGUGAAGAAGGCCUUAUGGUUGUAAAGCACUUUAAGCGAGGAGGAGGCUACUUUAGUUAAUACCUAGAGAUAGUGGACGUUACUCGCAGAAUAAGCACCGGCUAACUCUGUGCCAGCCGCCGCCGUAA